UAAGUGGUAGUUUAUUUAAAACGUAAAGUUGCAAACUUUAAGAAAACGUUGUUCCACUUUU
rnacentral:tRNA from 1 species